UUAAGUUCAGCGGGUAGUCCUACCUGAUUUGAGGUCAGACGACAUGAAAUUGUCCGAAGACGAUUAGAAGCAUCCUUACACGCGAGACGCGGAACGGCGCCAGAAGUAGACUUAUCACACCGUUGUGACCGAUCUCGCGACGGAACGCUAAUGCAUUUCAGGAGAGCCGACGGCCUUCGCCGCCAGCAACCCCCACGUCC
rnacentral:misc_RNA from 1 species